rnacentral:rRNA from 1 species
GUUGUAUAGUCAAGUAAUUAAGUGCAUGUGGUGGAUGCCUUGGCAGUCAGAGGCGAUGAAAGACGUGAUAGCCUGCGAAAAGCUCCGGGGAGGCGGCAAAUAUCCUUUGAUCCGGAGAUGUCUGAAUGGGGGAACCCACCUACUUUAAGGUAGGUAUUGCAACAUGAAUACAUAGUGUUGCAAGGCGAACGAGGGGGAAGUGAAACAUCUCAGUACCCUUAGGAAAAGAAAUCAAUUGAGAUUCCCUCAGUAGCGGCGAGCGAACGGGGAUCAGCCCAUUAAGUUAUGUGUGUUUUAGUGGAACGCUCUGGGAAGUGCGAACGUAGAGGGUGAUAUUCCCGUACACGAAAGGGCACACAUAAUGAUGACGAGUAGGGCGAGGCACGUGAAACCUUGUCUGAAUAUGGGGGGACCAUCCUCCAAGGCUAAAUACUCCUGACUGACCGAUAGUGAACCAGUACCGUGAGGGAAAGGCGAAAAGAACCCCUGUGAGGGGAGUGAAAUAGAUCCUGAAACCGCAUGCAUACAAGCAGUGGGAGCACCUUCGUGGUGUGACUGCGUACCUUUUGUAUAAUGGGUCAGCGACUUAUAUUCAGUAGCGAGGUUAACCGUAUAGGGGAGCCGUAGAGAAAUCGAGUCUUAAUAGGGCGUUUAGUUGCUGGGUAUAGACCCGAAACCAGGCGAUCUAUCCAUGAGCAGGUUGAAGGUUGGGUAACACUAACUGGAGGACCGAACCCACUGUCGUUGAAAAGCCAGGGGAUGACUUGUGGAUAGGGGUGAAAGGCUAAUCAAGCCUGGUGAUAGCUGGUUCUCCCCGAAAGCUAUUUAGGUAGCGCCUCGGACGAAUACCAUAGGGGGUAGAGCACUGUUUCGGCUAGGGGGUCAUCCCGACUUACCAAACCGAUGCAAACUCCGAAUACCUAUGAGUACUAUCCGGGAGACAGACUGCGGGUGCUAACGUCCGUAGUCAAGAGGAAAACAAUCCAGACCGCCAGCUAAGGCCCCAAAAUCAUAGUUAAGUGGGAAACGAUGUGGGAAGGCAUAGACAGCUAGGAGGUUGGCUUAGAAGCAGCCACCCUUUAAAGAAAGCGUAAUAGCUCACUAGUCGAGUCGGCCUGCGCGGAAGAUGUAACGGGGCUAAAACUAUGUGCCGAAGCUGCGGAUGUAUACUUUGUAUACGUGGUAGGGGAGCGUUCUGUAAGCCGAUGAAGGUGUGUUGAGAAGCAUGCUGGAGGUAUCAGAAGUGCGAAUGCUGACGUGAGUAACGACAAAACGGGUGAAAAACCCGUUCGCCGAAAGACCAAGGGUUCCAGUCCAACGUUAAUCGGGGCUGGGUGAGUCGACCCCUAAGGCGAGGCCGAAAGGCGUAGUCGAUGGGAAAAUGGUUAAUAUUCCAUUACUUCUGUGUAAUGCGAUGAGAGGACGGAGAAGGCUAAAUCAGCCUGGCGUUGGUUGUCCAGGUGAAAGGAUGUAGGCAUGUAUCUUAGGCAAAUCCGGGGUACUCUAUGCUGAGAUCUGAUAGCAAGCUGUACUUGUACAGCGAAGUGGUUGAUGCCAUGCUUCCAGGAAAAGUCUCUAAGCUUCAGUUACACAGGAAUCGUACCCGAAACCGACACAGGUGGUCAGGUCGAGUAGACCAAGGCGCUUGAGAGAACUCUGCUGAAGGAACUAGGCAAAAUGGUACCGUAACUUCGGGAGAAGGUACGCUGUUGUUGGUGAUGGAACUCGCUUCCUGAGCUGACGACAGCCGCAGAAACCAGGCCGCUGCAACUGUUUAUUAAAAACAUAGCACUCUGCAAACACGAAAGUGGACGUAUAGGGUGUGAUGCCUGCCCGGUGCUGGAAGGUUAAUUGAUGGGGUUAGCGUAAGCGAAGCUCUUGAUCGAAGCCCCAGUAAACGGCGGCCGUAACUAUAACGGUCCUAAGGUAGCGAAAUUCCUUGUCGGGUAAGUUCCGACCUGCACGAAUGGCAUAAUGAUGGCGGCGCUGUCUCCAGCAGAGGCUCAGUGAAAUCGAAAUCGCUGUGAAGAUGCAGUGUACCCGCGGCUAGACGGAAAGACCCCGUGAACCUUUACUGCAGCUUGACACUGAACUUUGACCUUACUUGUGUAGGAUAGGUGGGAGGCUUUGAAGCUGGAACGCUAGUUCCAGUGGAGCCGUCCUUGAAAUACCACCCUGGUAAUGUUGAGGUUCUAACUCUGUCCCGUGAUCCGGGACGAGGACCGUGUCUGGUGGGUAGUUUGACUGGGGCGGUCUCCUCCUAAAGAGUAACGGAGGAGUACGAAGGUGCGCUCAGCGUGGUCGGAAAUCACGCGUAGAGUAUAAAGGCAAAAGCGCGCUUAACUGCGAGACCCACAAGUCGAGCAGGUACGAAAGUAGGUCUUAGUGAUCCGGUGGUUCUGUAUGGAAGGGCCAUCGCUCAACGGAUAAAAGGUACUCUGGGGAUAACAGGCUGAUACCGCCCAAGAGUUCAUAUCGACGGCGGUGUUUGGCACCUCGAUGUCGGCUCAUCUCAUCCUGGGGCUGAAGCAGGUCCCAAGGGUAUGGCUGUUCGCCAUUUAAAGAGGUACGCGAGCUGGGUUUAGAACGUCGUGAGACAGUUCGGUCCCUAUCUACCGUGGGCGCUGGAAAUUUGAGAGGAUCUGCUCCUAGUACGAGAGGACCAGAGUGGACGAACCUCUGGUGUACCGGUUGUGACGCCAGUCGCAUCGCCGGGUAGCUAUGUUCGGAAGGGAUAACCGCUGAAAGCAUCUAAGCGGGAAGCCUACCUCAAGAUAAGAUUUCCCUAGGACUUUAUGUCCUCUAAAGAGCCGUUCGAGACUAGGACGUUGAUAGGUUGGAUGUGGAAGCAUAGUGAUAUGUGAAGCUGACCAAUACUAAUUGCUCGUGAGGCUUGACUAUACAACACCCAAGCAGUUG